rnacentral:rRNA from 1 species
UACGUAGGGGGCAAGCGUUGUCCGGAAUCAUUGGGCGUAAAGAGCGUGUAGGCGGCCCGAUAAGUCCGCUGUGAAAGUCCAGGGCUCAACCCUGGAAUGCCAGUGGAAACUGUCGGGCUGGAGUCCGGAAGGGGCGAGUGGAAUUCCUGGUGUAGCGGUGAAAUGCGCAGAUAUCAGGAGGAACACCAAUGGCGAAGGCAGCUCGCUGGGACGGUACUGACGCUGAGACGCGAAAGCGUGGGGAGCAAACAGG